rnacentral:rRNA from 1 species
UCUCCUUUUUCUAAUCAGUGAAACUGAUCUCCCCGUGAAGAAGCGGGGAUAGAUCUAUAAGACGAGAAGACCCCAUGGAGCUUUAAGCUAGCUUCACAUCUAUCUUGUAUGCCCUCUAAUUAAAAGAACACUGCCUGCUCAGCUUUAGGUUGGGGUGACCGCGGAAUAUAACACAACUUCCACGAUGUAUAACGAUUUUCUUAUCUAAGAACUACUAUUCUAAGAAUUAGUAUUCUAACAUACAAUGAUCCGAUAAUCGAUCAACGGACUAAGUUACCCUGGGGAUAACAGCGCAAUCCAUUUCAAGAGCCCCUAUCGACAAAUGGGUUUACGACCUCGAUGUUGGAUCAGGAUAUCCUAGUGGUGCAGAAGCUACUGAAGGUUCGUUUGUUCAACGAUUAAAAUCCU